rnacentral:rRNA from 1 species
AUUCUGGUUGAUCCUGCCAGUAGUUAUAUGCUUGUCUCAAAGAUUAAGCCAUGCAUGUCUAAGUACACACGAAUUAAAAGUGAAACCGCAAAAGGCUCAUUAUAUCAGUUAUGGUUCCUUAGAUCGUUAACAGUUACUUGGAUAACUGUGGUAAUUCUAGA